rnacentral:rRNA from 1 species
UACGUAGGGUGCGAGCGUUGCCCGGAUUUAUUGGGCGUAAAGGGCGCGCAGGCGGCUACGCACGUCCGUUGUGAAAUCGCUCGGCUCAACUGGGCGGGGUCAGCGGAUACGGCGUAGCUGGAGCAAGCUAGGGGGCAAUGGAAUUCCGGGUGUAGCGGUGAAAUGCGUAGAUAUCCGGAGGAACACCUGUGGCGAAGGCGUCCAUCUGGCCCGUUACUGACGCUGAGGCGCGAAAGCUAGGGGAGCAAACGGG